GGGGGGCAGGGCGGGGGCGCGGAGGGACAAUGGCCGGAAAGCUGCCGCCGCAGGCCUUUCCUCGGACACCCUGCCUGGCCCUUCCGACGGCGGCGGGCCCGGCUGCCCUGGGCGCGAAGACAGCGCCUGGUUGGCGGCUGGGGUGGGGGCAGGGCGCGGCUCUGCUGUCCUGGGACCGACACUCUCUCCUGCCAGGCGCUGAGGAUGGGUCGUCUUUAUCCCAUGGAGAACUGCCAGUGAGCUGAGGGGACCAGAGAGAGCAUGGGUGUGGUCCGUGUGUGACCUCAGCAGAUUCCUGACCUUCUCUGCACUUCAAUUUCCUUAUCUGGAACCUCCCCUUUCAAGGACCUGGCGCAGAGAGGACUCCCCUCCCUGUCCCACCACAGCUUAGUGAGGUCUUACAGCAAACUGGAUUGUGUUGGCCACUCUCAAGACUGAGACUGUUGGAGUUCCCGUCGUAGCUCAGUGGUUAACGAACCUGACUAGCAUCCAUGAGGACUCAGGUUCAAUCCCUGACCUCGCCCAGUGGGUUAAGGAUCUGGCAUUGCCGUGAGCUGUGGUGUAGGCCAGCAGCUACAGCUCUGAUUAGACCCCUAGCCUGGGAAUCUCCAUAUGCUGCUGGUGUGGCCCUAAAAAGACAAAAGACAAACAAACAAACAAAAAAUGAGACUGUUUUGGGGUGCUUAGGAGGGUUGCAGAAGGGUGUCAAGGUGGGCUGGGGGUGACCACCCACCUACCACACACCUACCACACACAAGGCUGCCCAGCUUGUCAAAUAGUAGCACCUUGAUGACAUUUCUGUGGUGGUGUCCCCAUGCCCCCUGCCCGGGAACACAGAUGUGCUUCCCCUCCCCACUACCCAGGCAGUGGCCACGUCCUGGGCAGUGCUUGUGUGCUGUCCUGCCAGGGUGGGUUGGUGAUGUCUCCUUGCGGGUAUCUGGGCAGACUGUGCUCCCCUCUCUUGGCCAGAAUGUACGAAGGAGGAAGACCAGGAAUGCAUGCCUCCCUCCUUUGUCCUCUCGCAGGGAGCAGUGCUGCUGGGCUGGGGCGGGAGGCUCCCUGAGUCAAGGAAACAACAGCCCUCUUUAUCCAGCACUUGGCCUGCCUGGCCCUAGGCUCUGCAUGCCAUUUGCCAUAGGCAGUGAGUUCUUCACUCUAGCUCCACAGCCGGUCCUGCUGCUUCCUCUUCGCAGAUGAGGAAAGGAGGCACAGAGCAUCUGGUACCUUUUUCCAGGUGCACAGCUGGUAGCUAGGGCUGUCAGGAUUUUAGUACAUGGGGUUGAGCCCUGAGCGGCCUCCUUGUACAGGGGGACAGCUGGCAUUUUCUCUGACAGAGCUGAGGUUCAGUUGUCUGACACGUGGGCAUGUCUGUCUAUCUCUCUGUCUCUGGCCAGUGGGUUGGAGUGUUGUCUGUGUUCCCAAGCAGGGGGCA